rnacentral:rRNA from 1 species
UCCUACGGGAGGCAGCAGUAGGGAAUAUUGGACAAUGGGCGAAAGCCUGAUCCAGCCAUGCCGCGUGUGUGAAGAAGGUCUUCGGAUUGUAAAGCACUUUAAGUUGGGAGGAAGGGCAGUAAGUUAAUACCUUGCUGUUUUGACGUUACCGACAGAAUAAGCACCGGCUAACUUCGUGCCNGCAGCCGCGGUAAU